rnacentral:rRNA from 1 species
UACGUAAGGGGCAAGCGUUAUCCGGAUUUACUGGGUGUAAAGGAAGCGUAGACGGUGAGGCAAGUCUGAUGUGAAAACCCGGGGGCUCAACUCCGGGAUUGCAUUGGAAACUGUCUGACUUGAGUACUGGAGGGGUAAGCGGAAUUCCUGGUGUAGCGGUGAAAUGCGUAGAUAUCAGGAGGAACACCGGCGGCGAAGGCGGCUUACUGGACAGUAACUGACGUUGAGGCUCGAAAGCGUGGGGAGCAAACAGGAUUAGAUACCCACGUAGUCCCUGAGCGGG